GCACCCGAAGCCCUGCCAGCUGGGGCACUCCUGGCUCUGCACGCCCAUAACCUGCUCCCCGUGGCUCAGCCACAGGGGAGGCUGUCUCGGGGGCCACCCUUCAGGCUCUCCCACUCGCCCGCUUGUUCGCCCACAACAGCAUCUUUUGCACUUUUCCCCGUUGGUCUUUGCCUAGUGUCAGCUCGCUGAGAAGACCUGGGGGGACACUGAAGCAGAUCCUAACGAUGUUCAACAGUGAAGAGCUGCAGCGGCAAACAGCAAGUUGAGGUCUGUGUGGAUCCCCUCUUCUGAAAGGGCUACAGUCACCCCCUCCAUCCACCCUGCCCUUUCUCCUUAAGGACAGGCUUGUGGAUCUAGCCAAGUCUGGCUUCAGGAACAGAGAAGGGAAGAAGCCACAGCCCAUGGGCCCGAGUCCCAGGCACUCUGGCAGCGCCAGCAGCAGUGCCGGCACCCAGGAGGCACACACUGUUUGCUGUUUGAGUAAAGGAAGGAACAGAACUAACUAUAAAGAACAAUCUGUUAAUUUAUUUACUUUUAAAGAUUUUAUUUAUUUAUUCAUGAGAGGCACACAGAGAGAGGCGGAGACACAGGCAGAGGGAGGAGCAGGCUCCCUGCGGGGAGUCCGACGCAGGACUCGAUCCUGGGACCCCAGGGUUAUGACCUGAGCCACUCAGGUGCUCCUAUACAAAAGAAUUUCAAAGGAAGGUAGGCGCUGUAAACAAGAGUAACAGCAAGUGCCUGGUGACGGCGCGUUCACCAUCAGAAGAGAAAACCGAGGGAAGUACCUCGCAGGCUCCACUAAACUCGGUGCAUUUCAGGUGCACUUGGAGACAAAGCGCCCAGGCAAUAAAUGAACAGGAGGGACGAGAUCAGCCUUGCAGGAUCACACAGGAGGGAGUCCGGGUCACGAUGAAGAAGUUGGGCUUACGAGGCCUAUUUAAGAUGCAUGGAUCCUCGGUGGUGAGAGAGAAAACAAACGGGUCGCUGAGAGGCACAAGGACAGUGGAAGAAACAGGAAACACAGUGUCUACAAACAGGCAGUAGGGAGAUCUCCGUAAAAUCUUCUUUCUCUUGGGGGAAUCCUUUCAUUUAUCGUGGGAUCUUCAUCUCUGUACAUAACCCGUUCAACAGUUACUGCACACUCACCCUGGGGUAGGACCACUGGCCGGUUGAGGCUAACUUGCUUACUUAGCCUGAGGGUACCAUGGACAAAAUUUUAAGGAACAUUUUAUUCAAGUGGACUUUUUGUUUAUUAAAACCCAGGUCGUAGUACAGACACAGGUGAACACGACUGUCUAGAUCAGUUUGGGAGACUGUUUAGAAAUGUCACCCCUCUUUCAAGUAAUUUGUUGAUGUUCCAACUGUCAGGGACCAACUGAAAUCUCAAAAGGGAAAGUUCCAGCUUCAGGUUCUGCUGCUCUGCGUCUCCCCAGACACAUCGGACAGGCUGGACAAGCUAACGAUGGACUACAUCGUGGAGGACUGCUCGAGGAUCGACCGACAAAAGACCAAACACAGGGGGUGCCGGCUUUUAAGACUGGCUUUCUUUGUGUUCUUUCUGGUCAAGUCCACCCCCUGACCGAAGUAAAAGCAGCCCACUAUGCCAUUGACUAAUUCACCAACUGAGAUUAUUUUCAGGCUUGUAGCUUUGUCCUGACUCUGGUAGAGUUGCUGUUUCUCACAUUUGUCAAUCGUGCCAUGAUUUACAUGAAAUGAAUGGGCUUUCCCUUAAUCACAGUUUAGGGUCCUUUCUAUUUCUGUAGUCCUAUAAACAGUCCACGAUCUGCAUCUGCUACCCCUCAAAGCAUUUGCCAUGUUCAAUUGAAGAUAUCUGGCUGAGAGUCAUCAGUGAAUCAGUGUUUUGGCAAACUGCCCAUCUGGGGUCUGACCUGAAGCCAAACAGCAUAUUUCCCAUUGUGACAAUUAUCUCUUUUAUAGGAGCAACUACAGUAGUCUAACCUACCUACUUCUUGUCUCUGGGACAAGAAUUUUCCAUUUUAACCAUAAUGGAGAAAUAAUCUACUAAAUCCGAGUUACCCUAGAGAUGGGGAUUAUUAAUUUUCACAGAAUUACAACUUAAGUUAAAAAAAAAAAAAAAAGAUUUAGCUUUGUAGCUUUCAAGCUCUUACGGAGACUGAGAGUCAACAUUACAAGCAUAAAUUGUCACCGGGCAGAUGGCUGUUAAAAGGUGUGGGACAGUAGACUCUUGUCCAGACUCACAGAGGUCACAGUCAACUGGAGAUGACCUUUUGGUAGAAAUCAUAUCCAUAUGCACGGCUGCCACACCAACCCCAUCUCCAACCUUCCCCCUUCAGCGGUUCACUUAGGGACACAUCUGACUGCACCUGUGACUGGAAGGCAGAGGGAUGGCUGAGAACCCACCAGACCACCUCGUCUUCUUGUUCCUCUGGGCCUAGGAAACAUCAAGAGUCCAGUUUCCAACAUCAAAGGCCCAUCAUCAAAGCCUCUAUUAAACCCAGAAAGAACUCUACACCAGGAAACUAGUAUCUGAAGGAGUACCUAUUACCCUUCCACCUUAUUUCAGAUGGAAUUCUAUCAAGCUUCCUUUAGAAGUCAACCUCCAGAGGACACACUGUACACUCUUCCUUGAGUGCUCCCUCCAGCAGGGAAGAUGAACCCUGCUGUUUACCCGGCACCCCUGUCUACCGGUGUCCCAUCCUGCCAGACAGCGCUUCCCAAAAUGGUGCCUGGACCCGCAUCAUGUGGCCCUACCCUGAACCAGAAACUCUGGAAUGGGGCCUAGCAAUGCGCUUCAACAAGCCCUUCCUGGUGAUUCUGAUCCCUUCCAAGUCGGAGGACCACUGCCACAAGCAUCUGCCUUCUGCUAGAAGGCAAACUACAGCAGAGGUCGGGACAGAGCAGCAGACGACGAGGAGUAAGAUAAGGCUGCAGAAGUCCAGGUCAGGAGAGCCUUUCUUGGGUCCAGGGGCUCAGCCCCACUCAGGUUCCCUGCCUUUCUUCCCCCUAUCUCCUCUGGCUGAUAAGGAACUGGAGUCACUGGUGUGUUCCUGGAGGAAUGUUUCCUCCCCCGCAGCCACACCUGGGCUCGAUAUGGAAGCAGCCAAUCAACAAGGACCUUGGGCUUUCCGACCCCAGAUGCCUGAAGGGAUACCCGUGGUGGACGCUCACCUGGACGCUCACUGUCUGUCUCCCGAGUACCCACCCACUUUCUGUUCUUUUACAAACAGAGCUGGUCUGAGAAGCCAUCCUUUCCGCGCUCUCUCCAAAUAAAAAUUGGGAUGGGAGGAGGACUUUACCCCUCCAAGGUUGGAACAAAUGACACUAGCAAUGCUGGCUGGGCCAGUCGAAACCCUGCACCGGCCUCCCCCACCCAACCCCGUACAUCUAUUAGUUGAUUUGGUCACAGUCAAUCUCAGGACUUCUGAGAGAGCUAACAAAGCAGAGCCUGGCUCUCUCCAGCUGAAUCUCUGGAUAAGUAUAAGACUAAAAUGGCAGCAUCUAACUUACUACCAUCUUACCGCCACUCUGAGAAAGCAGAGCUGACGACUGAAGAAAAACCAACUACGUGUAAUAUUUGAAUUAACGAACAAUGUCAUACCUUAGGACAGAAUUAUACCUGGGCUUUUUAGCCAAUAAAAUUUCCUCUGUUGCUUCCCCUA